AUUGAACGCUGGCGGCAGGCCUAACACAUGCAAGUCGAGCGGGGUUUUCGGACCUAGCGGCGGACGGGUGAGUAAUGCGUAGGAAGCUGCCCGAUAGAGGGGGAUACCAGUUGGAAACGACUGUUAAUACCGCAUAAUGUCUACGGACCAAAGUGUGGGACCUUCGGGCCACAUGCUAUCGGAUGCGCCUACGUGGGAUUAGCUAGUUGGUGAGGUAAUGGCUCACCAAGGCGACGAUCUCUAGCUGGUUUGAGAGGAUGAUCAGCCACACUGGAACUGAGACACGGUCCAGACUCCUACGGGAGGCAGCAGUGGGGAAUAUUGGACAAUGGGCGCAAGCCUGAUCCAGCCAUGCCGCGUGUGUGAAGAAGGCCUUCGGGUUGUAAAGCACUUUCAGCGAGGAGGAAGGGUGGUGUGUUAAUAGCACAUCAUUUUGACGUUACUCGCAGAAGAAGCACCGGCUAACUCUGUGCCAGCAGCCGCAGUAACAC
rnacentral:rRNA from 1 species